rnacentral:misc_RNA from 1 species
GUUUAUCUUCUCCUUUCUCGGCCCCUCUCAAAUUCAGCUGAGCAAAGCUUGCUAUCCAUUCAUCCGUACAUCAAUGGCGAUGCUACAGCUGACCGGGACCGGAAUGGCGGUGAAGGUAGGCGUCCUAUUCGGUGGGCCCCACGCCGCCCCGUUCACCGCUGCGAGGAUCCCGGUGUCUCACCGGCAGCUCCCCCACGGCCUAACUGUGAAGGCCACCGCUGUUGUUGCCCCCAAGUACACUACUGUGAGGCCGUUGGGUGAUAGGGUUCUCAUCAAAACAAAGUCUUCGGAGGAUACAACGGCUGGUGGUAUACUGCUUCCCUCGACCUCGCAGUCGAAACCUCAGGGCGGCGAGGUUGUCGCUGUCGGAGAUGGUAGGAAAAUCGGCGAUACCAAAGUAGAAAUCGGUGUCAAGACUGGAACACAAGUUGUCUAUUCCAAGUAUUCGGGGACUGAGUUAGAAGUGGAUGGGUUGAACCAUAUUAUUGUGAAGGAGGAUGACAUUGUGGGUAUUCUUGAAACAGAUGAUGCCAAGGAUAUGAAGCCGUUGAAUGAUCGUAUUCUGAUCAAGGUUGCUGAAGCUGAGGAGAAGACUGCUGGU